GAAAUGCGAUAAGUAAUGUGAAUUGCAGAAUUCAGUGAAUCAUCGAAUCUUUGAACGCACCUUGCGCUCCUUGGUAUUCCGAGGAGCAUGCCUGUUUGAGUGUCAUGAAUAUCUCAACCCAACAGUUUUUGUAAUGAGAACUGAAGGGCUUGGACUUGGAGGUUUGCCGGCGCUUGUUGGCUCCUCUCUAAAUACAUUAGCUGAGUCUUUCGAGACGUAGCCUCGGUGUGAUAAUUGUCUACGCCGUGUGUUUAUGUUCUUGCUUGCGCCACCCUACUUUUUAGUGGUUGUGUGGCGGAGACUUCUGGCUUCUAAUCGUCUUCGGACAAUCACUUUGACAUCUGACCUCAAAUCAGGUAGGACUACCCGCUGAACUUAA
rnacentral:misc_RNA from 1 species